GAUGAACGCUGGCGGCGUGCCUAACACAUGCAAGUCGAGCGAUUCUCUUCGGAGAAGAGCGGCGGACGGGUGAGUAACGCGUGGGUAACCUGCCCUGUACACACGGAUAACAUACCGAAAGGUAUGCUAAUACGGGAUAACAUAAGAAAUUCGCAUGUUUUUCUUAUCAAAGCUCCGGCGGUACAGGAUGGACCCGCGUCUGAUUAGCUAGUUGGUGAGGUAACGGCUCACCAAGGCGACGAUCAGUAGCCGACCUGAGAGGGUGAUCGGCCACAUUGGAACUGAGACACGGUCCAAACUCCUACGGGAGGCAGCAGUGGGGAAUAUUGCACAAUGGGCGAAAGCCUGAUGCAGCAACGCCGCGUGAGCGAUGAAGGUCUUCGGGUCGUAAAGCUCUGUCCUCAAGGAAGAUAAUGACGGUACUUGAGGAGGAAGCCCCGGCUAACUACGUGCCAGCCGCCGCCGUAACAC
rnacentral:rRNA from 1 species